rnacentral:rRNA from 1 species
GCGCAUACACAUCUGGGCACUAAAACUAUAAGUUAAAACCCAACUAGCAUGGCGGUAGUUUAAAUCUUUAGGGGAACUUACUAAGUAAAUGAUACCCACCAAGAUAACACACGUUAAGUAACAUUUUACAUACCGUCGUCGUCAGAUAUACUAUAAUAGAAUAUCAAACUACUUGCAAUAGGUAAAAGGACAGAUCAAGGUGUAGACUAUCUUAACGCUUUAGCGAGUUACAAUAUUGUUUUUUUUCGUAACCUAGUAUUAUUACUACUUACCGUUGGACUUAAAAGUAAUAGUUAUAAAGUAUAUAGUAUGAAUAAUUUUAAUCUGUGUACACAUCGCCC